UGCUUUCACAUGUGGUUGUAGUAAGCCAGGAUAGUCGGUUCUGUUUUUGGUGGAUGGCCCUGGCUGAGCAGCCCCUUCUGCCCCCUGCAUACCCCCAGUCCCUCGCUGGGGAUGUGACUCCUGCUCCCUUGCUUCCCUCCUGACUCCCCAGAACUUAACCUGCCGUCUGGAGCUAGACUUUUGCCUGAUGUUUGCUGGACAAAUGAAAGUGUUCAAGAAGAGGGAUUUUAAGGGCCCUGGCCCAGGUUCAACGCCCUCACCAGAGCUCAGUGCUGUGUGCCCCUCAUCAGAUGUUCCCCAGGAAAUGCGAGCACCCUCUGGGGAAAGGUCAGCAGCCACUAGAGGGAGCCAGACAUCCUGGACGGCCCUCCGCCCCACCUGUGCCUUGCUGGGCACACAGAGGCUCUGCCCUGUGAGCCUCUUCUUGCACCCCGCCUCCCCACAAGCUGUUGUCCCUGCCCCCAAGGGAGACGAGGUUCACACUCAGCUCACUUCUGGCUGGCCCACUGGGCACCAUUCUGGUACCUGCUGACUGGUCUCUGGAAGACCCCCGGGCCUCCCUGCCCACCUCCCUGCCAGUCUGUGAUGUCCCAUCUUGAAGCCAGUGCAGCUCUGAUUCAGGAUGGACGGGGUGGGAGCUGCUGGUGUGACAAGAGCCCGAUAACUGCAGGGCAGGAGGGCAGGGGGUCACGCUGUGAGCAGCCAUGUGGAGGCCUGAGGAUGGGGGCCAAUGGGUCCAGGAAUAGCGGCCAGACCACUAAACACUCUGGCUAAGGGUCACCUCUAGGCCCCCUUGCCCACGUGCUUCCCCUCUGUCCUGAGACCACCCCAUACUCAGUCACUUCCCAUCAUCCAAGUGCCCGUCUACCUCCGGCCUCUGGCCAAUGCAGGGCCCACUCCUGUCCUGAGAGGCCUUACCUGUUGGGGUUGGGGAAGAGACUGCCACCAGACAGAAGUAGCCAGGGGAGCAGGGUGCAGAGGGGGCAGCAAGGCCAGACACACCACAGAAAUGGCCAGAGGGGCAGGGUAGGCACUCUGAGGCCGUGGAGAGAAGCAUCCUGGGACACAGAGAGCGAGUGCGGGUCAGUGGGAAAGGAGGCCCUUAGGGUAGAGAGGCUAUGUCCCGGCGAGAGACCCGCCCUUCUGGGGCUGCCUUCUCAUUUCUCCUUGUUGAGGCUCCCUGGGCUUCCUCGCGCUCCCAUGCGCGGUCCAAGGUGGCGUCUGGGUGUGCUGGGUCUCUCUCUCCUAAGAUAGGCUCCUGGUUAGUUUCCUUGUCAUCUUAAUCCCCAGUUCAGAGUCAGGCUGUCCAGGGCCGCAGACCCCUGGUCUGGCAGCUGCAGUCAGAAUGUCCAGCAGCCUUUCAGCCACGGGUUCCUCAGCUGCCUCAUUCUGCGGUGCCCUUGCUUGGGGGUUGGGCAGUUCCUAAAGGUGGGAGAUGGGGCUCUACUCUCAAAUGAGGUGCAGGCAGACACACAGGCUUCUUCCUGGUUUGCUCCUCAGGCCUGACACGUUCUCAAGCGGCCAGCAGCCAGCACCGUCUGCCCUGAUUCUGACCAUCGUGCUCCCCGUCCCUCCGCUGCUGCUCAGGGGGUUCCUGCCCUUGGAGGCCAGGCAGAAGUCCUGCUCUCUGAGGUCCAUGUUCCUCCAUGGCGGAGGGACAUCAUUGGUGAGACAGAUAGAUGGUCACUGUGGGAAGGAAGACCAGGAAGACUGCCCCUUGGACCUGGGGCAGUGGCACUCACCGAUCUGAGAAGGUGCCCACAGGGCAGGGCAGGGGCACCCCCGUGCCCUCUGGACAGAAGUGGCCUGGAGGGCAGGGCCCCCCUGCCGUGCCACAAAAGGCUCCAUGGGAGUGGGUGACAUCAGCUCCUGCCCAAAGUCAGGAGGGGGUGAGGUCACAGAGCAACUCCUCCUCAGCCCAAAGCCCCCACCUCGACCCCCCUCAACCACAGGACGUUUCCUGGAGAUUGAAAACUGGAGUGACAGCACCCUCCACUGCCAGGGUGGCGCUCAAGUCCAGGGUGCCACCCAAUCCUCACCUCCAAGGGACUUUGGGUGGGGCUCCAGACUAUGGAGACGGGAAGACGAGGGCAGAGUGACGCAUCUUUAAACGUCUGUGAUCUUGCAGUUUGCGUCAAAGUCAUCUCCACAGCCCUAAGGACACUGAUGUGACAAGGGAGGGGACAGGCCAGUCUGGUGGGGCAAAUCUCACAGUGCGACAGGUUGGAGAGGUUGGUGCGGUUGCUGAAGGUCCCAGGUGGGCAGGCGUGGCGGGGAGUGUGCAGACAGGAGCCCACAAGGCACACAUACCUACGACACCCAUGGAGUUGGAGCCAGACCCAUUCUUCCAAGGUGGGAGGAGACAUUGUUGAUGGUGGUGAUUGUGAAGACAACAGGAGCUCUUUGCUGAUCACUCACUAGGUGCCAAGCUCAGUGCAAGGCCCUUUCCAUAGGCUGUCUCGCCUGAUGUUCACAACAGCCUUAUGAGGCAAAUAUUACUGCCUUUCUUUUAAAGAUGAGGCUCAGAGAGGUGAAGGAACUUGCUGAUAUUACACAGUCAGUAAAUAGCAGAUCUGGGACAUCCCUUCCCUGCUCCCCACAUGGUGGUUCUCUAAGCCCCUGCUCCAGACCACUCCCGCCAAAGGCCUCCCUUGUUCCUGUGAGCACUCUCGUUCCUCACUUUAAAACUGUUCAUUUCUUUUUUUACAUGUCCUUAGUGCUGGUGGUGCCCAGCCACAUCACCCCUCUGUCUUUAUGCUCUAUGUUGUGUGCAAAUGAAUGAAAGAAACCUUAACUAAAUUGGACUUGGGAAGGCCUGUAAGGGGUGCUCUCAGCUCAUCACCCAUCCUCAAUUACACCAAACAGGAAGUACAACUACUUUACUAUGAAGGAAGAUUUUCCUCCACACCUGGCAACAGCUCAGCCAAUGAGAAAUGCUGCAGCCCAGCCAAUCAGAAACGCCACAGCUCAGCCAAUGAGAAAUGCUACAGCCCAACCCAUCAGAAACUCUACGGCCCAGCCAAUGACAAAUGCUGCAGCCCAGCCAAUCAGAAAUGCCACAGCUCAGCCAAUGAGAAAUGCUGCAGUCCAACCCAUCAGAAACUCUACAGCCCAGCCAAUGAGAAAUGCUGCAGCCCAGCCAAUCAGAAACGCCACAGCUCAGCCAAUGAGAAAUGCCACAGCUCAGCCAAUCAGAAAUGCUACAGCCCAGCCAAUGAGAAAUGCUGGAGCCCAGCCAAUGAGAAACACCACAGCUCAGCCAAUAAGAAGCCAUUUCCGCCCUGAAGUGUUACUUCCCCCAAUGGACUUUCCUUUAGAACAGCGGCUACCUACUCCCCUUCUCUAUAAAAGCAGCUCCCCUCCUUUGUUUUCUGGAUUUACCUAUGGUUUCCCAUAGCAUGCACAUCCC
ensembl:lncRNA